rnacentral:rRNA from 1 species
GAGGCAGCAGUGGGGAAUAUUGGACAAUGGGCGCAAGCCUGAUCCAGCCAUGCCGCGUGGGUGAAGAAGGCCUUCGGGUUGUAAAGCCCUUUUGUUGGGAAAGAAAAGCAGUCGGUUAAUACCCGAUUGUUCUGACGGUACCCAAAGAAUAAGCACCGGCUAACUUCGUGCCAGCAGCCGCGGUAAUACGAAGGGNNCAAGCGUUACUCGGAAUUACUGGGCGUAAAGCGUGCGUAGGUGGUUGUUUAAGUCCGYUGUGAAAGCCCUGGGCUCAACCUGGGAAUUGCAGUGGAUACUGGGCAACUAGAGUGUGGUAGAGGAUGGCGGAAUUCCCGGUGUAGCAGUGAAAUGCGUAGAGAUCGGGAGGAACAUCUGUGGCGAAGGCGGCCAUCUGGACCAACACUGACACUGAGGCACGAAAGCGUGGGGAGCAAACAGGAUUAGAUACCCUGGUAGUCCACGCCCUAAACGAUGCGAACUGGAUGUUGGGUGCAACUUGGCACGCAGUAUCGAAGCUAACGCGUUAAGUUCGCCGCCUGGGGAGUACGGUCGCAAGACUGAAACUCAAAGGAAUUGACGGGGGCCCGCACAAGCGGUGGAGUAUGUGGUUUAAUUCGAUGCAACGCGAAGAACCUUACCU